CGUCUCUUCUCGCAUAUCCAGUCUGGAUGGCAGAGGGUUUUUCCAGCCGGUCGCCUAUCUCCAGCCGCCCGAUGCUUCUGGCGCCGUUUCGUCUCAUCUUGCCGUUUCUCUGCGGAUCGCGCCCCGAAUCGCACUCUCUCUUUUAACGUUUAACCGCAAGUUCUACUCUUCAGAUUUUCCCUGUUUUUAUGC
ensembl:ncRNA T06F4.16 ncRNA